AUUGAACGCUGGCGGCAUGCCUUACACAUGCAAGUCGAACGGUAGAGGGGGCAACCCCUUGAGAGUGGCGAACGGGUGAGUAAUGCAUCGGAACGUGCCCAGUCGUGGGGGAUAACGCAGCGAAAGCUGUGCUAAUACCGCAUACGAUCUCUGGAUGAAAGCGGGGGACCGAAAGGCCUCGCGCGAUUGGAGCGGCCGAUGUCAGAUUAGGUAGUUGGUGGGGUAAAGGCUCACCAAGCCGACGAUCUGUAGCUGGUCUGAGAGGACGACCAGCCACACUGGGACUGAGACACGGCCCAGACUCCUACGGGAGGCAGCAGUGGGGAAUUUUGGACAAUGGGCGCAAGCCUGAUCCAGCAAUGCCGCGUGCAGGAAGAAGGCCUUCGGGUUGUAAACUGCUUUUGUACGGAACGAAACGGUCUGGGUUAAUACCCUGGGCUAAUGACGGUACCGUAAGAAUAAGCACCGGCUAACUACGUGCCAGCCGCCGCGGUAAGAC
rnacentral:rRNA from 1 species